rnacentral:lncRNA from 7 species
CCAUUACAGACAGGCUUGAAACCAGUUGUCUCAACCUGAUGAUUACCAGGAGCCUGAACAGACACCUUACUGCUCACUUAGAAGUUUGGAAGCAUUCAGACCUGUGCUGGUGGUGUAUUUCCUUCCAUACGACCUCUGACCAGCUAGCAGGGAGAAAUCUCUAGAAGGUGGUUCAGACUAUCUACAUCAUGAUGUUCCUCUUCUUGGAAGAACUGAAGAUGUGAUACAAUUGAGCUGAUUGAGCAUCUUGACCUUCCACUGAAAGAGAUUGUCUUAACCAGAUUCCUUCAUGGCAUUCUCAGACAGGACUGGCUGUCAACCCUCACAUCUUAAGGACUGUCUUUGACCUCUGAAAUCCGUCUGCUUUGAGGCAGUAGUAAUUCUCAGUGUGUUCCUCCACCUAAUUCUUGCAAGGCUUCUCCCAUGCCUACAAUAUCAAGUAUAACUGAGCAUACUCAGGAUCAAGAUUUCAGGCUUCCUCCUUCCUCUGUGACAUUUUCACCCAUUCUUUGCUUCUCUGUCCCUGCUUUCUCAUGUGAUUCCUCUGGGAGAGUGUGUGAGUUCCCAUGCAGUAAUUUGGAACUGCCUAUUGAGGAAAGGUGUUUCUCUACCAACCUCCUCCUUCACCUGAACUAUUAGUUUGUACUUCACAAAGGCAAAAAGGUGGCUUUUUUGAGGGAGGAACAGAGAUUUGUCGCAUGCAGUGUAGUGGCAUAUAGCUGAAAACCCUCUGCUCAUCUUCAUUGCUGAUGGGAAACUGCACUACUGUCGACAGGCAGUACUGACAGCGUAUCCUUAAACCUGAUGCUAACCACGUGAGAAUUCUAAAAGCCAUCACAGAAACCCUGGAAGACCCUGGGGAUGUGUUCUACACAGUCUGCUUGUGAGAUACUGAAGGCAGCAGUAUCAUGGAGCUCAGCCUGCUGCCAGGACUCCUUCAUUGUGAUGAUUUGUGUGCUCACACUAUUAGGAUCCAGAGUUAAUAACCUUGUUGCUAGUGGACAGGCCCAUCUGCCUUUGUUUCCUGCUCUUCUCAAAGCUGUAUUUGUGCCCAGAUGAAGUCAAACCUGUUUAGACUCUGGUGACAGGGAUGGAAAUAGCCACCAGGCCUUGGGUUGGGCUUCCCUACCAUAGCUCCACCUUGUGCUUCAGGAAAGGAAGCAUUCAGGGAGGAAAGUAACUGGCCUGCAUUAAUGAGAGACUUCUCCUCUGCCUUGCCCAGUGAUGGGCUGUCAGUCAGUAAUUACAAUGCAUCAGUGACCCCCCCCUUUUCUCUGCUGCUGCUGCUGCUUGGGGAGCUAAUGAGGGAGAACAUGCUGUACAGAGUGGUCUGACGUUGCACAGAGGAUCCAUUACUUCACUUUCUAAAAAUGGAAUUCCAGCUGUAAGGUUGGGCUUUACAAUGAUGCUGUUGGUUUGUGCUCCCAAGGCACUCUGUGAAUUCCCCUCUCUUGGGGCUCAGCAUUAGAUGUGCUGCACCGCACUAACACGCACUGCAGCACUUGCUUGUCUUUGCUUCGGGGCGGAAGGAGGAUUGUUCCCAUUGUGUUCUGUGUGCAGAUGACCUGCUCCACCUCCUUAGCUCAGCAGUGCUGGUUGGUGCACUGGGAAGGAUGAGCCCGAAAGAUCCACCCUUCUGAAAGGGACAAAGAGAGGCAGCGCAGACAAGGCUGCCAGCUCUGCCUCCUCCAUGGGAGUUACUUUGGCAGCGGUGAAGGAAAUGCUGGGGUGCAAAGGGGCAGUGAGUUCCUGUCUCUCUUGGAGGCGCUCGGUGUGAUGAAUGAGAUCAUUCCAGCUCAGCAAUGAUUACGUGCAUGUAAUAGUAAAUAAUACACAUUAAAUAGCACAUGUGGAUGUAU